rnacentral:rRNA from 1 species
GAUGAACGCUGGCGGCGUGCCUAAUACAUGCAAGUCGAGCGAACGGACGAGAAGCUUGCUUCUCUGAUGUUAGCGGCGGACGGGUGAGUAACACGUGGAUAACCUACCUAUAAGACUGGGAUAACUUCGGGAAACCGGCGCUAAUACCGGAUGAUAUUUUGAACCGCAUGGUUCAAAAGUGAAAGACGGUCUUUCUGUCACUUAUAGAUGUAUCCGCGCUGCAUUAGAUAGUUGGUAAGGUAACGGCUUACCAAGGCAACGAUGCAUAGCCGACCUGAGAGAGUGAUAGGCCACACUGGAACUGAGACACGGUCCAGACUCCUAAGGGAGGCAGCAGUAGGGAAUCUGACGCAAUGGGCGAAAGAAUGACGGAGCAACGCCGCGUGAGUGAUGAAGGUCUUCGGAUCGUAAAAAUCUGUUAUUAGGGAAGAACAUAUGUGUAAGUAACUGUGCACAUCUUGACGGUACCUAAUAAGAAAGCCACGGCUAACUACGUG